rnacentral:lncRNA from 1 species
AUGUUGGAUCAGAUUGAAUUGGAUGAUCAGGAUUUGGUCACAAUGGAACUAGAAUGGGUCUUUUAUGACCUUAAAGAGAGGAAGGUCAGGAAAGAAAUGGUUCAUAAAGGAGUAAUAAGGAGAAGGAGAUGGUGGGUGAGAUCUCCAGGCCACAUCUCCAUCUAUUACACUGUAAUCUCCAGGAAGACAGACAGAGUAUCCUACUUAAAAUUUGUUGCUCUUAGGGCAAAUAUUUUUUCUACUUCCAAAAAAGGGAAGAGGUUAAAAUCUACAAAUUAUAGAGGGAUAUGGAGUCUUCAUCUAAAGAAACAUUUCCUUGUCAUCUGAGCUGUCCAGACAAAGAAUAUUGUCCCUUGGAAGAAAACUUUCCAUGUAAGAGGAAAAUCCCUUUGUCAACAUGGAUGGGUGCUCCUCUUCUACAAUUCAAAACUAUAUACAUGAAAUUCAACAAACACAUUGUCUCUACUUAAGCUUGUUAUGCCCUGUCACUCAAUUGUAUCUGACUCUGUGUGACUCCGUGGAAUGGAUUUUUAUGGGCAAAAAUACUGAAGUGGUUUGCCAUUUCCUUUUCCAGUGUGUUCCCAUUUUACAGAUGAGGAAGUGAUGCAAAUAUCAUGGUCACAUUGCUAGUAUGUAUCUGAGGCCAGAUUUGAAUUCAGGAAGAUGAGUCUUCCUUCUUUCAGGCCCAGCAUUCUAUCUGCUGCACCACCUCGCUGUCCUUUAAAUAUUCAAAGCCCUUUCCCAAUUCAAUACUGUAAAACAAUUUCAUUAGAGUUAAAUGAUUAUAUCUACUGGGGCUCAUUGUUGCAGGGUGGGCAGAUCACUGUAGAAGACCUGCUCAGUGUUUAAAGUGGACCUUUGCAGGCUCAUAGGAUCAGAGAUCCAACGUUGAUAGGGACCAAAGAGGCUACCUUUGUUCAAUUGUCUUUUUCUUUCUUUCCUUUUGUUUUAAAUUUAAAUUUUUAUUUAAUUAAUUAAUUUAGAAUGUUUCCAUGGUUACAAGAUUCAUGUUCUUUUCCCUCCCUCCUCCCCCUUUUCCGCCCCACCAGCUGACACACAAUUCCACUGGGUUUUACAUGUGUCAUUGAUCAAGACCUAUUUCCAUAUUAUUGAUUCUUUCUUUUUUUUUAAAACCUUUAUGUUCUUUCUUAGAAUUGAUAUUCUGUAUUGGUUCCAAGGCAGAAGAGUGGUAAGGGCUAGGAAACUGGAGUUAAGGGACAUGCUUAGGGUCACACAGCUAGGAAGUGUCUGAGGUCACAUUUGAACCCAGGACCUCCUGUCUCUAGGUCUGGCUCUCAAUCCAAUCAGCCCCCUAGCUGCCCCUUUGUCCAACCAUCUUGGAGAAUUGCUUAUCCUCAGUAAC